rnacentral:rRNA from 1 species
GACGAACGCUGGCGGCGUGCCUAAUACAUGCAAGUAGAACGCAGUUGCGAACGGGUGAGUAACGCGUAGGUAACUGCCUCAUAGCGGGGGAUAACUAUUGGAAACGAUAGCUAAUACCGCAUACUGUGAGAUGGACCUGCGUUGUAUUAGCUAGUUGGUGAGGUAAAGGCUCACCAAGGCGACGAUACAUAGCCGACCUGAGAGGGUGAUCAUCCCCCCUGGGACUGAGACACGGCCCAGACUCCUUCUCUUCUCCUCUCUAUUUCCUCUUCUUCACUUUACUGAAGUCUGACCCCACAACGCCGCGUGAGUGAAGAAUUUUUUCCUAUCCUCUACCUCUGUUGUUAGAGAAGCGGUAACUAACCAGAAAGGGACGGCUAACUACGUGCCAGCAGCCGCGGUAAUAC